AGCUUUGCGCAGAGGCAAUACCAUAAUCAAUGAAGGUUUACUGAGAUGUGGUUAUUGCUAGUUGAAAACUUUACCCAAUACCCUGCCAAUACGACUCGUCUAGAGUCGGAUUAGGCAAUUUUUGGAGGUCUCUAAGGAGG
rnacentral:snRNA from 1 species